CCAUAAUCCAAUGUAUCAUUGACAAUAUAUAUUAAAAAAAAUCAAAUAUGUCUAUAGCAUAAUAAAUUCAAAAAAGUUUCUUUAAACAUAACAAAAUGCCCUCUCAUUGUUUGGCAGAAUUUAAUGUGGAUACAAAAGGCUACGGUGACAGACCAUUCACUAUUAUCUAUAGAAGUAAAUAUUUGCUACUUGUAGAGAAUUUAGCUUCACAGCCUUAAACAAAAUAAUAUAAAACUGUACACUACACACACAAAUAACAUUUACACAUUUGCACGUAACAAAUAUCCUCUUUGCUUUGUGAAUUUUGAAAGUCACACAUAUUUGUUUUAUAUUUUAAAAUUCACAGUAUGCUGAACAUAAAAUUUGCUCUCAAUAAAGCUAUUUGUCCAACCAAUGAUUCAUACUAUAUAACUGAAAAGAUACUGUACUUGACAAGAAUUGUUUGGUCAGUAUCUGGCCUUUAUACAUUUGUCUAAUUGACAAAAACAAGACGUUUAAUGAAAUUUGAAGGCCACACAUGUGAGUGAGAUAGAAAAACCAUGGCAAAAUGAUUGCAUACAAAAAGGUAAACAAGAUGUCUUAACUUAUGUUACAGUUCAAUGAUUUUAAAUGACCAGUACAGUAUGUCUCUCUCAUACAAGUGAGAGGUUUAGAGCUACAAAACCAGGUACAAUCCACCAUUUUCUACAUUUGAAAAUGCCUGUACCAAGUCAGAAAUAUGACAGUUGUUGUCCAUUCGGUUGAUGUGUUUUAUUAUUUGAUUUUGACGUUUGGUUAUGGACUUUCCAAUUGAAUUUUCCUGGGAGUUCAGUAUUUUUGUGAUUUUAAUUUUAACAUCUUUGUCAAAGUUUUACUUACUCUUAACAUAAACAAUAAAUAUUACAUGGUGCUGUAUAUUCAGAAAUUAUUGUGACUGGUUUCAUCUUUUAUUUCAAUUUUUAAGGAAUGGAAACAAAUGUAAGAUUAAUUAUCUCUAUUUUACAAAAUUUAUCUUCGAUCUUACUGACUGAUAAUUUCCAUUCUCAGUACACUAUAGUGAUAUGCAGCUGCAGCUCUUGGGCUGAUAUCACAUGACAAAGGGCCGAUCAAGGGUCUGAUAUGAAAAAUGCCAUGUAAUAAUCUAUACUUAUUGCCAUUACAGGAAAACUGCAUACAGAUCAUUGUAUAAGAUAUCAGUUGUUAGUAUGAUAAUAUUCACCAUGUCACAUGAUUCACAUUAAUAAAAACCUUGCAAUAUUUUCUGAAUUUACAGUAUCCAUUACUUAUUCAGUGAAAAAGCAGUAAUAUUUAACUAUUCAAAUGUGGCUAGCUACCCAACAGAACAUGUGAUUGCCAAAAUAUUACAAUGUAAGAAACAAAAUUUACAACACAUCUUUGGCAAAAAAUUCACAUAAAUUAGUAGAAAUAUAAAAAUUGAUCAAAUGCCCUUUUCAAAAUAUAUCUCAUUAGCCCCUUACUACACAAGUGUACAUUUGUAUAAGUAUAAAUCACUUAAGCUUUCAUUAUCAAAGUAAAGAACUAGUAUCAGUUAAAUUAUGAAUAUAUUACAGUAUACC
rnacentral:lncRNA from 1 species